GACGAACGCUGGCGGCGUGCCUAAUACAUGCAAGUAGAACGCUGAAGGAGGAGCUUGCUUCUCUGGAUGAGUUGCGAACGGGUGAGUAACGCGUAGGUAACCUGCCUGGUAGCGGGGGAUAACUAUUGGAAACGAUAGCUAAUACCGCAUAAGAGUAGAUGUUGCAUGACAUUUGCUUAAAAGUUGCACUUGCAUCACUACCAGAUGGACCUGCGUUGUAUUAGCUAGUUGGUGGGGUAACGGCUCACCAAGGCGACGAUACAUAGCCGACCUGAGAGGGGGAACGGCCACACUGGGACUGAGACACGGCCCAGACUCCUACGGGAGGCAGCAGUAGGGAAUCUUCGGCAAUGGACGGAAGUCUGACCGAGCAACGCCGCGUGAGUGAAGAAGGUUUUCGGAUCGUAAAGCUCUGUUGUAAGAGAAGAACGAGUGUGAGAGUGGAAAGUUCACACUGUGACGGUAUCUUACCAGAAAGGGACGGCUAACUACGUG
rnacentral:rRNA from 1 species